GAUGAAGAACGUAGCGAAAUGCGAUAAGUAAUGUGAAUUGCAGAAUUCAGUGAAUCAUCGAAUCUUUGAACGCACAUUGCGCCCGCCAGCACUCUGGCGGGCAUGCCUGUUCGAGCGUCAUUUCAACCAUCAAGCCCCCAGGGGCUUGUGCUGGGGCCCUGCGGCUGCCCGCAGGCCCUGAAAACCAGUGGCGGGCUCGCUAGUCACACCGAGCGCAGUAGCACAUCUCGCUCAGGGCGUGCGGCGGGCUCCCGCCGUGAAACCCCCCACUGUAACCCCAAAGGUUGACCUCGGAUCAGGUAGGAAUACCCGCUGAACUUAAGCAUAUCAAUAAGCGGAGGA
rnacentral:misc_RNA from 1 species